GUCUUAAGUAAUGUCAAUACGGCCCUGUGAUUGGUUUAUGACAUCUUAAGAUUGUACUUAAGAUGGUUGUUGCCCCUUUUCCGCCAGCCGCUCACAAAGUAAACGCAAUAAGAGAAUCAAUCAGCAUCGCAAAGCGACAACAAUAAACUUCGAUAGAUUCGAGUAUCGAUUAAAUCACAAUAAGAGAAUCAAUUAGCGUCGCGAAAAAAGACAACAAUAUACUUCGAUAGAUUCGAAUAUCGAUUAAAUCGAACACAACCGACCGGACCACCGACCCCCAGAGAUUGACAUUGUAACCAGUCGUUUAUUAUCGUUCGAGACAUUAACAUCUAUCUUUCAAAUUAACGGCAUUUGUAGUGACGACGCAUAAUUAAUUAAACAGAAUCAGUACACAAUAUACAAAUCUGUGAUCUCGAGAAAAUGGAACAAUCAGGAUGUUCGGAGUCGUCUGUCUGGAAACAUUUUAUGGAAUUCAAGACCAUAAAGUGCUCACUUUGCUCUAAACUUUUAACUGUACCAACGGCAAAUGUGUACUAUUAUUUAAAGAGACACAUAGACAUGUAUCACCCUGAUAACCCAGACAGUAGUAGUAACUUGGCACAUGAUAGAAACUUGGAAUAGUGGAUUAUAUUGACGUCAUUACCUUAUCAGUAAUAUAAGAAUAAACGGAUGCUCUUCUCUCUAAUGGAAAUUGAGAAUCAAAAUGCUGAAUCAUUUUUAAAAUUUUGAGUGGAAUUAAUGGAUUGUAAUACAGUGGCACAUACAUUUUUUAAUUAGUUCUAAAAAAACAAUUUCAAAAAAUAAAGUCAUAUCACAUACGUUAUUUUGUCGUAUAAAAAUCGAUUUUCUUGUAUAGAGACUAUAGAGACCCUCGUCAUCUUCAUCAAUUUUAAUCAUCAUCUAUUUGUAUCAUAAGUUUAACGUCAAAAUGCCUUGUUUCCAACUAUUUCAGUUGAUCUCAUAUAAUUGCUGAAGUUUUAUUAUAUACGUCAUCGAGAGCUGUCUUUUAUUAAUACAGUAAUUUUGACAUU